UAUAAAAAUCAUAACGACACACUCUAACACCCCGAUUUAAACAAAAAAGUCUCGACAAAGAAGGGGGCUCAAGAACCCUAGAAAUCGCCCGACAAGAAUCCAGCGGCGUUCAUAAUCUCUGUCCCAGUUCAGGCGCUCCAAGAGCUAUACACCUCGAUUCCGCCCCUACUUUUUGAGCCCUGACGUCUUUCUCGUUGCUCGCUGCUCUGUUUCGAGGGCUCGAAGCUUGAGCUUAAUUAGUCGAUUGGGAGCUUAGUUCUUGAGUUGGAUAUCCGUAUAAAUGAUGAUGCAAAGCUCAUUGAGAUACGCCUGAACCCAAAACCAAUUCAAGACCAGCAUAUUACAAACCUUUACCGAUAUUCUUUUCGUGCAUAUGUAUCCAACUUGUACCUCGGUCUACCACAAAGCUUUAAAAUUGUUUUGCGAGGAAAAGGAAUAGAGCAUCAUAAUCUUGCAAAUGAUCUCAUAAUCUUCUAUCUGGUCCAGUGCUGCAGACUUCUGGAAAUGAAAAGAAUUCAGGUUUUCUAUGAUGCCUUUGCGUAACCUCUAGUGACUCUAAAUUAUUUGGUUAAUUUCCUAUCUCUAAAACCAAGGAGGUAACCUUUUGUUACUGUUUUACUUGGUCUUUUAUAUACUAUUUUAUUUGAAUUUGCUUGCAAUAGUAUCUUUGAUAAUCGCUAAUCUCUUGUAUAAUUUCAUUAUCUUGCAUUAUCCUGUUAUAUUCUGACAGUCAAAUCGAACAUAUUACUGCAGGUAUUAUGUCAAGGCUUUUUCUUUAUUUAUUCUUUGAUUCCAAUCCAUCUUAUCUAACAUGCUAAUGUAUGUUAUUGUUUUUAAGAGUUUACUUGGUGUUGUGACAGGCUAGAUUUGCUUAUGUGGAUUCUCUAAAUCAUAGCUUAUGAUAAAGAGAUAAAUUUCAAGAGGCCAUGCAGUACAUGUCUUUGUCAACAGGCAGUAUUCAGGUUCUGCCUAUGGUGCCCGAGAGAACAUGAGAUCCACAUUUACUAGACUAGUUAGAAUUGUCGAAUUAUUGUCAAAUAUAUGGAUGUAGUACGUACUUGAUAUUUAGAUUAGAUGGAUGUGUAGUAGUUGAUCGAUAUUGGAUUUGAUGAAUGUGUAAUAGGUGAAAAUUAGAAUUUAAAGGAUGUAUAGAGUACAAUUGAUUUAUAUAAAGCAUUAAUAAGAUUUAGUUGUUUUCUUA